rnacentral:rRNA from 1 species
UACGGAGGGGGCUAGCGUUGUUCGGAAUUACUGGGCGUAAAGCGCACGUAGGCGGCUUUGUAAGUUAGAGGUGAAAGCCCAGGGCUCAACCCUGGAAUUGCCUUUAAGACUGCAUCGCUUGAACAUCGGAGAGGUAAGUGGAAUUCCGAGUGUAGAGGUGAAAUUCGUAGAUAUUCGGAAGAACACCAGUGGCGAAGGCGACUCACUGGACACAUAUUGACGCUGAGGUGCGAAAGCGUGGGGAGCAAACAGG